rnacentral:rRNA from 1 species
AGAGAUCAUGGCUCAGGAUGAACGCUAGCGGCAGGCCUAAUACAUGCAAGCUGAACGGUAAAUAUUGUAGCAAUACAAUAUGAGAGUAGCGUAAGGGUGCGUAACACGUAUGCAAUCUGCCCUGUACAGGAGGAUAGCUCGGCGAAAGCCGGAUUAAUACUCCGUAAGAUAUUGGUGGGGCAUCCCACAGAUAUUAAAGUCGCAAGAUGGUACAGGAUGAGCAUGCGUCUGAUUAGCUAGUUGGUAGUGUAACGGACUACCAAGGCGAUGAUCAGUAGGGGAACUGAGAGGUUGAUCCCCCACACUGGCACUGAGAUACGGGCCAGACUCCUACGGGAGGCAGCAGUAGGGAAUAUUGGUCAAUGGAUGCAAGUCUGAACCAGCCAUGCCGCGUGCAGGAAGAAGGCCUUCUGGGUUGUAAACUGCUUUUGCCAGGGGAUAAAAAGUCCAUGCGUGGACAAUUGAAGGUACCUGGUGAAUAAGCCACGGCUAACUACGUGCCAGCAGCCGCGGUAAUACGUAGGUGGCAAGCGUUGUCCGGAUUUAUUGGGUUUAAAGGGUGCGUAGGCGGCCUAUUAAGUCAGUUCUGAAAUAUCCCGGCUUAACCGGGAGGGUGGGAUUGAUACUGAUGGGCUUGAGUGGAGUCGAGGUAGGCGGAAUUGACGGUGUAGCGGUGAAAUGCUUAGAUUUCGUCAAGAACACCGAUAGUGUAGACAGCUUACUAGACUUCACUGACGUUGAGGCCCGAAAGUGUGGGGAUCAAACAGGAUUUAGAUACCCUGGCUGUUCCACACUGU